CUGUGCAGUUGUUAUGGUACUUAGGAGUCCAUCUGCAUCCUCCCUACCCAUUCACUCAGUUUCUCCAACAUUUCUCUUGCCUCUGCAAUUGAAGCGUCCAACAGUGUCCAACCAAACAAACAUGUGAGGACAGAAGAAAAACAAAACACUUUUUGCUCAAAGCAGUUCCCUAAGAGGUCAAACACUUCUAUACUACUACAAAAAUAUCCACCAAAGCCUCACACUCAGGAUUUCUCUGCCCUGUCUCUUCCUCAUUUUUGAUUGCAAGUCUUGUGAGAAAACCAGCUUUGUUAGGUUCCUCCAUCACUUGCACACACAGAAAAAAAGCCAAGGAGAAGACAUUCUGUAGUACUAGUAGGGCUGCAUACAAUAUGACAAGCCUAUUUUGAAGCUUUCAGCAGCGUUCACAGUUGCCAGUUGUUUGAGCAUGCCAGUUAUGCACAGAGAAUUGAUUGUGGUUUUGUGGCUCCAAAGUGGUCCAAUUUCAUCAAGCACAAACCAGUUGAAUACUAGUUUGAGGCACCAAGCAUGUAUUAUUUGAUGGAUCCGCAGCUCCCAAAAAUAGAGAUCAUCAGACAAACAAGAGAACAUAUGUGUGAGGAUCCACUUUCAUCUUAUUUGGAAACAACAGCUCAAGAUUUCAGGCACUGUCUUUAUGCAAAGUCACAAGAAGUGACUUUCCAACAUUAUGCUGCACCUUCAGAGUGCACAGCGCUGUCUAGCUGCUCUCCAUUUCCUUUAAGGAAAAGGCAGGAGAUCCAGUGCAAGUGUCCAACAGGCCAGUGAUAUAAGUCAAAAUGUUUUGGGUCAUCUUCUCCCCUUGCCAGGCUUCACACAGUGUCUUUCUUUUGGCAGGGUUUACCUCAGUCUUUCUUACCCUUGAAUGCAGGCUCAGGAAUAGCAACAGAAAGCUUCCAUUUCAUUAUGUAGCUCAAAUUGAUUUGGGUUGACUCACUGUUCUCUGUUCUGUUACAAUUGCAAAUAAAUUCAUAUUGCAUUUUCUGAGUAGCCAGAAAAUUUCCAGAAGUCAUCUUCACCUUUCAUCUUUAGUAGCUAGAACACUUCACUUUCCUAAUUUUAAGACUUCCGUAAGCCUGUAACUACUCAAGUUUUUUUAUAUUCUAUUUUCUAUAGAAUUUUAUUUUCCAAUUUUGAUAGCUUAAGUAUAUUCUAGUAUUUCCCAGGAUCACUAUCACACUUCAUAUAUUUAUAACUUAGAACUUACUGUCUUUACAGCUGUUUUCAUUUAACACUAUUCUGUAAUUUACCUUUUCUUUUGCUUUCAAACACAAAUUUUACAAGUUUCCCUGCAAGUCACACACACACCCUAGCAGAUCUGGCACAUUAUCCAGGCAAAUAUUCAUCACUGAAAAUAUUUGUCUGAAACCCACGUGGUAAACAUCAAAUAAUUUUUUUUUUUUAAAAAGACACCACUUUUUAUAAUUCUCAUAAACAAGAAUAAAAAUGCUUUUGGUCAUUACCAGCCUUUUCUACAGGAUGACAACUGCUUCCAGUAGAAGAAGAUAGAAGCUGUUUCUGUUACCCACCCUCAUUCUUUCAACAUUUCUUCCCAAUUAAGAAUAAAACAUUGCUAAGUAUAAAGGUAAGCAGCACAGAGGCAAUAGACUCUGAGAGGUCCAUGACUACAUGGAAAGAAAGGCCAGACUACCUACUUUCAAUUCAUAGAGUUACUUAUGUAUUCUCUUUUCACUGGCCUUAAAACAACCCAAAGAAAGCCAUACAUCCCACAGGUGCAAUAACAGAUCUCUCCAGGACUGGAGAAAGAAAUCUGGAAGUGACAUGAUGUCAGGAUGUGUUCAGUAGGAUACAUAAACACAGGUACCAACACAGCCUUAGGGUCAUCAACACAGCUAAGAUGUGAUCCUUCUAAAUUCAAAUACAGCUCCUAUACUUAACAACAUGGAAGCACCUGGUUCUCCUACAAGUUAUCAUUUUAGGUUCAUCCACAAAUUGAACCUCUAUAAAGCACAAAGGCUAACUGACACAGAAAAAGGUUUAACCCUUUGCAUUCAACUCAUAUUUAACUCUCUUAUGGAAAAUAAGCGACUGCUAUAAAACUACAAACAAGCCUAAAAUCUAGCAACUACUGUUCAAAUUAUGAAAAAAUAAAAGGCUAUGGCACUGUGUUGUAUUUUUUUCCCCAAGGGAAAUGUUGAGAAUAAAAAAGUAAAUUUUUUAUGUAAACAGAAUUUAAAAAUACAUUUCUUCCAAGUGUCAGGCAUGCGAAACCUCACAACAUCUUCUAUUUUAUCUCAGAUUCCUAAAAAUUCUGUAAUGUGAAAAACCUCUAGGAGUACCACAGCAUUUAGUUUGACAGCAAGCAAUCUGGGAACCAAUACAUUAAAAUAGACAGAGUUAAGAUAAUGCUCCUGGCUAAGGAUCUCAAAGGUAUACAGCAUACAAACAAUUCAUUCAGAACAGCACAGAAGUACCUUCAAAUACAGUGAAGAGUCUUUCACUGAUAAAUAUUUAUAAUCAGUUUUGAUAAUGUAUUUCACAAACCAAAUAAAUAGUACAAGCACUGAAUUCCACAGUUAAAACUGAUACCAUAAGAGAGAGAUAAAGUAUACAUGCAUAUAAAUAGGGGUACAGAAGAGGAAGCUGUGAUGAAAAGGGGAACAAAAGCAGUAUAGCAAUAAGCAGAUUCAGAAGAAAAUUCAGAAAAUAAAAAUCACUAACAAAGUCCUACCACCCCAGGACAAUUUCAACCAGCACUGUGUUGGUUUUCAGAAAGUAUUAUGUCCUGAUGUAAUCUGUCAAAGUUUAUUGCAAAGUCAACAGAUCUUUCACCACACACAAAAAAAAAAACUGAAAAUCCUUAGAUUACAUCAAUCGUGGAUUUAAAAAAAACAGUAUUUUUAAUAUCAAUCUGUAUUCCAACUCAUGUUAAUGUUAUAUACAAAAAAAAGAUACCACAGCAUUGCAUUUGUACAGACUUUUAGUGACUAUUAAUGAUCACUGGGCCUUGAUAAAACAUCCAAGUAUUUUGUGUUAAUCAUUUGGCAUUUCAACUGUUGGAAGUGACCUUAAACAGAUAUAUUUUGCUGAAACCACUACUGGCUGUAAAUUACUAAGGCACUUAUUUCUUUCACUGCCGAGGUUUCCUUAAUAAGCAUGUCAAAAGUUCCAUUAUCAGGUGCACCACUUGAAGUCCAGCUGCUUUCAGUGUCUACAGCCCAGAAGAAACUCAACCGUGCCCUCACCCCCAGCAUGUCACCACGAAAACCCACUUUCAGCUCUCAGAGUGCUGUCAGACUGAGAACUUCUAGUGCAAGCUCUGCAUCCAACACUCAGAUGUUUGUUGGUAGCCCUACUGUCAGCCCAAAAAUGCUGCAGUUCUGCAACUACCCCAAACGUGGCAGGCUCAGGUCUUCUGACUCUCCAGCCUGCUGGCACACCAUCUACAUCACCAGUGAACAAGUGAAGCCACUGGCUGGCCCCAAAUCCAGAAGGCCUGCACCACCUGGCACCAUCUCUGCAGCAGGGCCAGCUAAAGAGAGUCUUGGGAGCCCUACCCAGAUACAUGAGAACAACUCAUAAGCUCAUGCAGAAGCUACAAGUCCCACAUAAUUUGUUAUUUUGUAAACAACGGUGCUGUCUUAAACUCCUGCUUUCAUUUGCAGGAAAAAGAAAUAAAAGUAGAGAUUUUGGCUCAAGUAGAUCCAAACCAAGCAGAAUUUUUUUUUUAAAACCUUUCUUACAAUCAGGAAAUGAUGUACAGCAAAUCCACUUUCAAGUUAGUACAGGGCUACAAACGUUCAUUUUAGUGAAAUACUAUACUUUCGUUUAAAAUGAAUUGCAUUUUCAUUUUUCAUGCCAAGAAACAUCUUGUGUCACAUUCUGAAUCAACUUUGAAAUUAAAACAGGUAAAAUAGCAGCAAAGUAAUUACUAGAUCUCUGUAUUUGAUUUUACAUUCCACACGGUCCAAAAUGCCCAACAAAUGUGAUUACUUAUACCCAUCAAGUACAACUAAAUCCUUGGACAAAAGCAAACACUGAAGAUAACAGGCAUCAUUACCAAAAAUGUCCUGCCUGCCUCAAAGCGCAUAAAUUAUUCAUAAGUUACCCCAUGUUUUGAAAUAGAAACAAGAACAUUCUACAACAGAUAGACAUAAGAGUUUUUUUCUACAGUCUAAAAACCUUAAAUCAAGUAUUUGCAGUUCCUAUUAGACUUAAGACUCACAAGACUGAAUGAAGUAUGCUUUUGCAUCUCAAUUUUCGCUGAGCAACUUGAGAUCUAUGAUUAUACUUACUUUCAAAAGAAGUUUUCAUUAAUUAAGAUUUUGAACACUGUCUGUAUGGGAACUGCUGAGUCACAGCCUGAACCCCUGGUUGAGCACGUGGAGACACGACCCGGUCAGCCCUGGAAGCACAGGCUUCAUUUAAGAGCUCACUGCCACCUGAGGAAGGGUAGAGAUCCCACCUCUGUGAACCUAGAUCCUUGGAGAUGGGUGAGCAAUCCUUUGCCUUCCUUUCUAACAUCUUCCUUCAUGCUGGUCCUUCUGUCGUUACACUGUCUAAUAAUUUAUUUGUUGUAACUUCAACUUUAUGUUCUCCACUUUUUUUUUUUUUAAGUAUACCUUAUUUUUCCUCCAUUUAAAAAGCAUAUUAAAGGUAGAGCUUUACUAUAUAUCAUGAAGUAAAUGGUUAAUUUACUUUUUCCCUCAUUUAGUGAUGUACAAUAUUUGUUGCAGUCCCAUAGAGCAAUUACUACAGAUGUGCCUCUUCUGCAUUUUUAAACAUUACUUCCAAAUGCUUAAUGGCUUAUGAAAAGAUGUAGCUGUUUUAAGAAGUGUAUUGAAGGGCUCUGUUGUUUCAGGAAGACAUAAUGUCAAGAAAUUUUAACAAUACUUUACUCUAAAAGUUAUAGCAUACACUAAGCAGAUACAGAUCUUUCUUUCAUACUUAAAGAGUCAAACUAGGCACGAACAGGAACUAUAUCAAAAACAUGUAAGGCAAGCAAAGACAACACCAAAAGCUUCUGAACUUUCACAGGGUCCCAGUUUGAGAUCAAAAGGAAAGAGGCAGUUUAACACCUUGCUUAGAACACAUUCAAAUAUUACCAUAAUAUUACUAACCAAAAUAAAGUCUGUUCAGAAUGAAUGAUUAAAAACUAUGCCAUUUGAAUAUAUAAAUAGGCAUGCUUACUGAUCUAUCCAUUUGAAACAGCUAAUGACUAGCUAACUGGAUAACUAAGUGGCAAAAUUUAAACAAUGAAAUACUUUUACUAAAGGAAGUUAAAGCAUAACACACCUUCACUGUCAUGUAGGAGUAGUUAGAGAAAUCUGAAAAGAAGGCUUGCUAGCAAACUGAAAAGCCUUGAAACAUCAGUAAAACACGGAUACUUCGUACAUCACGCUCUCAGUUUUGCAGGAAGAUUCAUGUUUCAACACAUGCAUAUAAAUGGUCUCUGCUAGACCACAGCAGAAAAUUUUACCUAUACUAUUACCACAAAUACAAAGAAUUUAUUACAUUUCUUUCAAGCUGUUGUAUAUUUAAUACUGCCUUUGGAAAAAAAAAAGUAUACUGUUCCUUUAAAAAGUCACAAUCUGUGACAUUAUUACUACUUCCUUUUAAUGAUAAUGCUGAAAAUACGCUACCGCAGUCCUCCUGCUGCUUCUGCUUCCCUGUUUAUUUCGUAACUAUAAGUACAAUAUCAUUUUCCUUCACAGGAAUACAUUAAGGAAAUGUUAUUAGCAAAAAAUAUCCUAGUCAGAACAACUUUGACAGUUGUUGCCCACAUAUAAAAAAUGAAACUAUAUAAACAAAAAUAACUAAAACAAGACUCUGAAGCUUAACUAUGAGCAGGCAGAUUUUCUCAGUGAUAUCUUCCUUUAAAUUUCCUCAAAGAUAUUGAAAUUGCAUUUAAAGAAAAAGUCUAGAGAAAGCCCUUUAAUCCUGUGUUACUUUUAUACACGUACUACAAAAACAGAGAGGAUUACUGACCCAAGUAUUCUCUUCAGUUUGCUUUGUAUUAUUUUCUGACAGGUAAAUGAACACUGAGGAGCUGGUCGCUCCUCAAGGAGGAAGUCUUAAAGGCUGGGGAGCAGGCUAUCCCCCUGUGCUGCAAGAUGAGGGAACAAAGACCAGCUUUGAACAGGGCUCCUCCAGCUUUCCUCAGGCUCCAGGAGAAAAAGAAACUACCUCCUGUGGAAGGAGGGACAGGCAACUCAGGGAGAGUACAAAGAAAUUGUUCGGAUAUGCAGGGGAAAAAACUAGAGGGGCAAAAGCCCAGCCUGAACUCAAUUUGGCCAUUCCUCAACAGAAAACUUUUUUUUUUUUUUACAGGUAUAUUAACAGUAAGAGGAGGCCUUUAAUGGAUGCAGUGGGGAACGUGACCACUGAGGAUAAGGAAAAGGCAGAGGUUGCCCCUUCCAAGGUGCAAAUUCCAGCACUUGCUCUUGUUAAAUUUCUUGCAUUUAGCUAAUGCCCAGCUUGCUAACGUACAAAGAUCUCUGCAAGGCCAUGUCACAGCACAGGUAAGUAAGCCACUGUGUCACCACACCUUUCACUCCAUACUUCACAUCACCUAUGAGAAACCAAGUACAAUUUCUUUCCUUCCCCAAAAAGAAUCAUUUUUCAUCUGUAUCACCGUACACACCUUGAAUACCAGCUCUCUCUUCUCCUCAGAGGUGGUUGAUGGAUGCAUAUUUAAUAGAACUAAGCUAUAGUUUCUCAAUUUGUAUUUUCCUUUGAAGACAGCUGUCUUUAUUUUAGAGCUGAAGUCAGUGCAUUCAUCUACCUCAAUUAUACUUCAUCAUCUAAUAAAACAGCAUUAGCCCUACCUAUAAAUGUUGUACAGAUUAUAAAGGCUGUUACAGGCUGUAUUUCCAAAUGCACUCUUAAACAUAUCGGCCUUUGGAAAAAUACAAAAUAUUAUUAGAUUCAAACAAAAGUUUAGUUACUAUUACUUGAAAGAUGGGAAUUGUCCUAACAGAUACAACAUUAGUACUUUAUUCCUUUACAUGUUAAUAUUAAUUUCAAAUGACUGAAUAAAGUUGCUAGAAGGUUGUUGAUCUAUGCGUAGGCAGUUUGGGUGACUCAUGAAUCAGCUCACAAAUUCCAAGAACAUGUUUGUAUCCAUUCCAGAUAAUCAGUCCCCCGCUCUCCAAAUAUCUGACAUUACAUUAGGUUAUAAUAGAUUACAUGGUAUGUCACAGAAGUCAAGAACUUAAAGCUGUCUAACACUUUACAAUUCAACUGUAUAUUGCUUCUGACAACAUACCUAGGUUCUCAAAUCCUAAAACCAUAUUUGCCUUUCUUUCUGUAACAAAUGAGACAUUGGACAACACGCAGGAAAUAUAUCCAUCGGUUUAACUGAAAGGAUUUAUAAAUUUCAUAUACUGAGAUUGCACCACAUAAAUACAUAUCAACCCUAAAGCAAGCAGCAAAAAGCUAAACUCUUAGGUUUAGACUAAACAUGACACGGAAUACUGAAACUCAAGUUGUGUUUUGCUAGGUAAGUAUUCUUCAUUAAAAUACUCCUCUUUCCCAUAGCAACUGUGUAACAAUAGUGCAUUCCUGUUUUAAAGACUUAGCAAAGAUCCCAGGAUAGCCUUCGCACAAUAACAGUGCAUCAAAAUAAAAUUUAAAAAACAACCCCCCAUUGGUAAGUAGUUAAUAGCCUCCCUGCUGAUUAAGAUUUUUAAGGAAAAAGAUGAGCACACUUCCAUUUGCAUCCUAUUAGUAACAGUGCCAUUUUACUCAAACACAACUGCAUUCCACAACAGCACGUAUAUCUAAGGGGCUAAGGGAAAAGCAGAAAGUGUCAGAAAAAAACUCAUAAACAUAAGAGUCCAACACUGUCACUGACUGGAAAGCACCACUCUAGCACAAACUACUCCAAAGUAGCACAGAGACUGGAAAAAUGCACAUUUCAAUUCAGUUUGAUGUGAAAAAAAGUCUUUAAGAUGUAAUUGAAAUGUAAGUACAGAAUAUUAUCAAAAUGUAGAAGUCUGCAGUAAUGGCAGAACCUAAUAAAAAUUACUGAUCAGAGACUUGAAAGGAAAAGGCAAAUUGUAAAAUUUUGCUCAAAUGCUUACUUUCCUCUGUAGAACAUAACCGCUUAAGGGUUUUUUUCAGCGUUUUACAAAACUAUUUUCUACUUGAUUAUAAACAUACUCCAAAGAUUUACAGAAAAUUGCUUUAACCAUAAGCAUGAACAGAGCUCAUCACAAACCUGAACAGAUCCUACAUUCAUAGAAUCAUAGAAUGGCCUGGGUUGAAAAGGACCUCAAAGAUCAUCUAGUUUCAACCCACCCUGCUGGGCAACAGCAUGCAGACACUUCAUCUGCAAUCCCCUUGGCAUCCUUGUGCUGUUCUUACGUAGCACCUGGAGCGAGCAGGCACUGACCUUACAGCUUGUGGGGGCUAACACUGCUCAGAUAACAACCAAGGGGGUGAGAAGAUGUGUCAGUCAGAGCAGUACAUUCAUAGUGCAGCAACAAAGACUGGAGCACUGCUGAGACAGGUAGCAGAGCGCUCUCAUUACUCUAACGUAUACAAACCAUAAGUAAAGUUCAGGCUUAUGAACACUGCUUACUAUUCUGUCUAGUUCACUGUGUUAAGCUAAAGAAGUAUAAAACCAUCACCAAUAGCACUACAUCACUUUGAAAAAACAGCAAUUUAAUUAUAUAUACUCUUUUAUAUAUAUAUGUUAUAUAUAUAUAUAUUCUUCAGUCCCAUCAUAGUAGCAGAGCAAAAGGCCAAGGGUGGCAUACAAGUCACAGACAACACAGGUAACAGCUUUAUGGCAUAGCAAGACAAUAAUUUCUUCCUGUUAGUAGGAGCCCAAGCUUUGGUCCCUUUCCUUUCUUUCUUGCAUGAUGCUCUUACUGAAAUUAUACAGCUGUGGCUAUACUGUCAGCCAGUUAAUUGAACUGAUCUGGGAUUAGAAAGUCCACCUGAGAGUUUCAGUGUUGAACUGAUCCAGGCAGUAGAACAGCAUACAUGCAGUGGCUGAGGCCUGCCAGUGAAGCACAGUCAGCUCAGACUGUGGCCAAUAAUGUGUCAUUCAGUGACUAACGUAUAACAUCAAGCGAUACAGCUUGCUUAAACUGUCUUGAAACUUCAAGGACAAAGCAGGGAGACCUGCAGAGUUGGUUUUUUUGUUGUUCUGUUUGUUUUCCUUGGCACGGGUCUGCUUCUAUCCAUAUCCAAACAUCUCUGAAUGCAAAUCAUAUGGCCUAGACUUUUGAGGCCGCUACACAGUUCCACCUUAGAUAAGUUUCUUUUUCAUCCAUUUUACAGAUGAGGAAAACUAGCAUGCAGUGUUGAAAACACAAUGUUACUUUGUAGUAGCAUAAAACUAGUUCAUUUUAUUUCAUAAAUAAUCAGCCGGGGGAGGUACUGUAAUUCUUAGUUCCAGAAAUUACAAGCAAUUUUAUCUUUGCAUAUCAUGCUUGCAAUCUGAUCAUGGCAAAACAAAAGCAGCCAAAGCAGUGGAAAUGUUCUUCCAGUGCCAGAAGAUCUGAACAUGAAGGUAACAGCACUAGGACUUAGGAAAAUCAUUAAAAAGGAAAAAAAACACAAUGCUCAUAUAUGAAUACACUAUCAGGUAAAUGAGUUAGCAUCGCUUAGCAGAGGUACUUGGAUUACCAGAGUAAAAGUCAUAGCAACUUAAAAUUUACUGCAAGUAAUCCCAACACAAAACGCUAGUCACAUACAUUUGUAUUACUUUUUACUUGUGGAGAUUAGAUGUUUCUAGGCAUCCUGUGGAACUACAGAGCACCUCACAGUAAAUUUUCUUAGUGGCAACUGACAGUCAGGCUCAGAGUACAAUUAUUCUCCUCUAGUCUUUGAAAAAAAUGCAAGUAAAAGGAUUUGAUCAACUCUUCAAGGAUUUGACUAAUUUCAAGGAACAAUGAAUAUUGAUCGUGCUCCAGAAGGAAAGCAAAAGUAAUAUACCAAGAAAUACACUGAAGACAAAUGGCAAUUUACUGUCAGGAACACAAGAAAUCGACAGCUCAUGCUAUCAGCCAGGAAAGCUGCAAUAAAUCAGUGCACCAAAAAUAUCUAAGAAGCUUCUGCAACAAAUGAGUAAAAGAAACAAGGGGAAAAAAUAAUAACCCCUAUUUCUCUUUUUGCACAUAUACUAUGAAAAACAAGCUUCAAACCUAAGUUCUUUGUAGUGUAUAAAUGGUAUAUAACAGUUGGAAAUGUGCCACCAGCACAUGCAUAUAUCAUUUAAAGGUCCUACGGACAGAAGCAUGCAAGACUAGCAUUAACCUCCAAAACCUUGCAUUUAUUUAAAAAAUUAAAAAUGCAAAGUACUAGAUAUUCUCUUUUAUCCAGCAAUGCAUAAAAAGAGUUAAUGCAUUGAACUCUGUGCAAAGCUUAUUUUACUAAACAGAAAGGCAAACCCACCAUAUGCAAAUUUCUUAACUGUAAGUAUAGUGGGGGGCUAAUAAGCACAUGAAUGCUCCAUUAUGCAAAUGCAAUGUAAAUACCUAUGAGAAACUAACCUGAGAACAUUCAAUAUGCAAAAUGCAUGCAAAUAUCUACAAAAGAUAUCAACCUGGGAAUGCUGCCUGUCAUACCACAGUUCUCUGUUUUAUGCACCAUGUCAUAUUUUUCAUAUCUAUAACAUCUGCACUCCCAACAAUUUAAAAUACUAGGUGAGUCAAGCAAUUAGGCAAAUAAUAAAAAAAUGCUUUGAAAAUGAUCAACCAGAAGUAAGAGGUCACAUUUAUGUAACGCAGACUGUUUGCAUACAAAUGUAAUUUUGCAUGGGCUGGGUCAAAUGUGAACAAUCAGAAAGUACAGCCUCUCCAUGAGAAUGUACAAAUGCUGAAAAUUAAGAGAUAGCUUUGUUAGACUUUAAUAAAUAGACCAUUCUUCAGCACACUCCUGAUGUCUUUGUAACUAAUGCAACUUGAGUACACAAAGCAAUAAGAAGCAACAGUACAAGAUACUACAGGAAAAAAAUAUAUCUAUUCCUAGAACACCGCAAGCCUCAAAUUAAGAGACUUACUGUGACACCAAAUAGCACAGCAGUUACUGAAAUAGGGAACUUCUUUUAUUCUUCAUUUUUGACAGCCAGCAGGCCCAGAGACUGACUCUACUAACCUCCAAACCAUUCACAUCAAAGUCAGGUAUGUCUCAAUAACAAAGCCUAAUAGCUCUAUCUAGAACAAAGAAAAUUUCCAGUGUACCCUUAGUGUGACCUACACUCCACCCUAAUCUGAAUACUUUCCUGAUUUGAGGAAAGACAACAAAUGCAAAAAGGAAAAAAAAAAUCCUAGAGAACAUCUUUGUUCUGCCUGCCAGUCACAUCAUCAGAAGUCACCUACCUACAUCUCUGUCACCCACCACUACUUCACUUAGUGAGGGGCCAAUAGCUUUCUCACAGAAAUCCUAGCGCACUAAGCAAGCCUAGUCUAGCUGAAAGAGGGCUUUCCUCCAACAAAUAAAAAAGAACUAAAAUCCAUUGAUGUCAAUAAAGUUAUCAAGAAGAAUGGUAUGUCUUGCAAUCGUAAAACACUCCUGAGAACUGCCAUCCUGCAGCUGCCCUUCUUAGCCAAAUGAAGCAGGUGAUGCUGCGAGAUUAAGUUUAUACUCCUGCUUAGAGGACAAAGGAUUCAGCAAAUCCACCAACAGAUUUCUGCUCUCUUCAUCUUUUCACUUCACAUGAAGGUAUCGUAAAGCCUCAAUAAGGAGGCUUUAUCACUAUUGUGUAAAACUGCCUGUAUUACCUAAGACCCUUGAAACUCCAAGAAAUUAGUCUAGUUAUGAAUAACCAGGAGACUGAAAUCCAUAAAUAUGAGCAGUAAUUUUUACCCACUAGAUGAGGUACAUUUGUGGGAGAGUAAAGUAAAGAGAAUAGUUUCCACUGUAUGAAUAGAUGCCUUUUCCUUCAGGCUGGUAACCUGACAAGUAGAAACUAUAAUCCCAUAUAUUUCUUCAUAGGGAACUGGAGUAAAUCCAACACCUAUUGCAAGUUAACAUCAAAAAGCAAUCUCAACCUUGCAUUUGAAAAUUUUCAAACCUACUAUACCCCUCUCAUAAUUACUGAUUGACUAAAAGUGCCAUCCCACCUUCAAAGACAUAUCCAAAGAGCAGCUCCUAUACAAAAGUAGGUAACUGCAAUAAAACCAUUUAUCAACAGUCAGAACGGUCACAUUUCCUAGAUGGCAUACCAUUACAGUUCAAGGUAGUUUUUUAAAUGCAUUUGCUGCAGGCAAAUGUGCAGGCACAUUGCUGUAGCUUAGCUUCCAACAGUAAGCCAUUAAACUACAGUAUUUCCAGCAGAUCUUUGAGUACAAGAACCACUCACUCAAUCAGAUGGCAGGAUAAGCAAAUCAAAUUCAUUUCAAUUGAGACUGUAACUCAUACAAUAUGAGUUUAGAUUCCAUUUGCUUCAAAAAUACAGAUACAUAAUUUUCAACUUGUUUCAUUUACAAAUGCAGUGCUAACAUAUUUCAACCAUGACAAUGAAUACUGAAGAUCAACAGAAAAGCUAUCUUCCAUUUGAAAAAAAAUACAGCUGCUGAAAACAUUUAAAAUUGCAAUGAAAUUUCACAAAGUGAAAGAUAUCUUUACAGUGUUAAAAGCAACACUUUAUACCAGUUUCUAAACAGAGUAUUUAUCCUCUUCUGUGUUACUAUCAAUAUAAGAUGUUAAAGAGAUCCUCAACUAAAUAUCAGUGGAAAUGUUUCUUACUAUUUCCUUUUCAAAAGUUUUGUGGGGUUUUUUUUGUUUGUUUGUUUGCUUUUAACAUAAAUCCUAGCCACAUUGAUAGUUCAGGUUAUCUCCCUGUCCAAUCUUAAUCUUAUAUUAAUUUGGCUCUAGAUGUUUGAUGAAGCUGAAAAAUGGCCUAGAACACAUCAAAAACUUACAACUUUGAAGAAGGCAGCACAUUUUCCUUCAGCCAAAGCCUCCAUUUUUCUGCCGACGAAGUUGCAACACUUGAUGCAACCGAACAUUUCAGCUUCAGAAGAAAAAAGGCUAAGAAUGAAAUCCAUUUUCCUUUAAGCAACUGUAAUUGUGAACAAUUGCUUUGGUCAAAAUAGUACAAUGUCACACGUUACUCCUGUGGUGGCAUAAAAUUCAGCAAAAUCUUGAUUAACAAUUAGUCUUUCAACAAUAUUAGCCACAAAAUGUUACCACUUCAACACUUGCAAACAUGUAAUGCUAUCUUCAGGAUGCCUCUGACACUUUGUAACAGCUUGGAAUACCAUCUUGAGUCUAAAAGUAAGACACACCGAUCAAGUUUAAGCACAAUUACCUGAAGCUAUUCACUUUGUUUUUUACUGUAGUGGAGAAGCACAACUUAAUCAGGCUUCUAACAUGGAAUACAUCAUGUUAGGCUUUUUUGAGCUCAAUCGAAUAGUCCAAUUUUCUAAACUAGACUAUGCAUCAGUUUGAAAUCACAUCAAUACCAGACUUCAUUCAGCAGAUUCACUACCUCAAAUUUCCCUUAAUAGCAUUUUAAUUCAAACAUGUAUAGGUAUGGGUACAAAAGAAACCACAAUGAAAGAGUCCUGCGUGUCACUCUCUAGCAGGCUCCGCAAUCAGAACAACUGCAAUACAAGUUACUAUAUUUCACACAGUUGCACGUUUUAGGAAUACAAAAGCCAAAACAGGUUUUCUUUUUAGUCCAGAAGUGAAUGAAGGAAAAAACCAACAUGGUACAAAACAGAUGUUUGUGUACAGCUUGCACACAUUAAACAUGAAGAGCUUUAAUGUCUUCUCAACAGUCAUGUGCUACAUUUAUGGAAGUUACAAAAAUUAUUCUGAAGUUGUCCAACAAGUACUCUCCAUGGAGAAAAUAAUAAAAUUUUCUUACCAAUUUCCACAGCAAAGUAUUUUGUUACCUAAUAUCAUUUCUGCUCGUUAAAAAUCUACUGAUUUGAUACAGUACUUCUUUCCUCUUCAACAAAGCUAUAAAAACUACAAGAUUAUCUUAUCUGUGCAGCUCCCACAUAUUCCUUGGAUAAUUAGCUGAUGCUAAAGAAAAAAACCUAAAACAGUAGUAGUUGGUAAAGCUCUUCUACUCAGUAAUUUCUUUAUCGCUGACAUGCUGCUCACAGCUAGUAUUUUUGUCUACUAGUAUGGCAAAGUAGCACAAGAAGGUUACAAACCAAGCUGCUUCCAGACCAGCAGGUUGCAUCUUGCCUCAUCCUCUCUCUCAACACAGAAUUUAUUCCUGAAUCUUUAGUUACCAGGAUACUUGCAGCAAUAAGUUUCUUGACCUUAUUUUACAGAGCAUAUAAAAACUGUAUAUUACACACUAGCUUUGUCUUAGUGCAUACAACAGCCCUAAUAAUAUACAGUUGUGUAACAUUCACAUUUCUGCCAACAUUUCCAUUGUAAUAUGAGAAUAAAUCCUUAUUUUUGAGCAUUCUCAUUGGUUAUUCUCUAUAUCAAACCACUUCUUUUUCCACAGCCCCCCUAAUUAACCAUAUGUGACCAGAACUCUGAUAAACACUGCUCAUACCAGCUCUUCAAUAACAGGGACUGUUAAAAUAAAAAAGAGAGCACUCACAGAACCAUAAUAGUGCCAUACAGGAGAAUCAUCUCUAAGAGUAAACCAUGUGCACUAAGCUGAAACACAGAAUAACCAAUUACAGUCAACUUGGAAAUACAAAUGAUAAGACAAAUCUACACACUGAUAAAUGGAUUUUUUUCUUUGUUUUCUGAAAAGCAAGAACUAGCAUUUUAGCUCUUACAAUCCUACUGUAACUUUUGUAACAGUAUUAGGAAAAAAAAACUUCUUCACCACCUUUCUAACAAGAAACACACUCACACAAAAAAACAAAACCUGUGCACAGUGAACUCUCCCCUCUUUAGCAUGCUCCUUCUUCCUCUACGCUUUUGCAAACAAUCCCAAGACCUACUUUGAAGAAAGCCCUGAGGUGCUGCCUAUGCUAUAUCUGUCUGCACACACUCAGGAAACAAUCCAUCAGCAGUAACUCUUUGAUGCGUUAAAAAAAAAAAAAAAACCUAGAACUUCACUCUCUUGAUAACAUAGCUAGAGUAAACUGAGAUAUUACUGCCUCCAACUGCUCAUUACCACACCUCAGCUGGAGUUCUCUGUCCUCACACAAAAAGCUAAUGGACCACAUGCGAUUUUCCUUCCCUUACCCCUCAGCAGCAGGAAGACCACAACAUCUAAGCAACCAUGGCCAGAGGACUACUCCGGAGCUCUUAUCCCAGCCACACGCAGACACAGCAGGAAGAGCAGGAGCAGAACAGCUCUGUUAGGCCAAGUGGCAAAUCAACUAGGCAAUCCUGAAGGCCAUCCCACUGAACAGCCUUGACCAAACAAGUGAGAAUCCAAGCUUUGGUCCCUGCAUAUCACUCAAGUUUGCACUUGGAGAAGGCCUGUUGUGGAUUACCCCAGCGCCAUGCAGCUGCUCUCUCACUAACCCCUUCCCACAGAUGGUAUGAGGGAGAGAACUGGAAACAAAACAGAACUCAUGGACUGAGAUAAAAACUAUUUACUAAGAAGAGGAAAAUGGGAACAGAAGGGCAACGAUAACAAGAUACAUAGCCGCAAUGCCAUUACUUGCCACCCGACGCACAGCAACAAUAUCAAUGCCCAGUGGCCACCAGCAUUGCGAGGUCUCACCACCGCAGCCCCGGAGCAGCAGCUGCCCCCAGCCAACCGCCCACAGCGUUACAGCCCUCCACCUCGUGUCGUGGGCUACAGAAUAACCCCCGGCCUAAUUCAGGCACUUUCCUGGCUCCACCCCGCCCCAGCUGCCGCACCAUCAUGGCAGUGGCCCUGCCUCACCGAGCGCCCGGCCCCAGGUGCGCUCCCCAUUGCUCGGGAACAACCAAACAUCACAGUGAUGUUAAUGCUGCUUUGGAUGAAACAAGCACAAGCCAUUACAGGCACACAAGCGUAGCCAUUUACUUCUUAACACUAGAACUAAGUAGACAUAGAUGGAAAGUGCUAUUUUCCCACAGUGUCCCCCCCCAGGGCAGCCUAACCCUUCCCCGAAGGUCAAUAUAAACAAUCACAUAUUUAAAUUCCUCACAUUCACUGCCUUCAACUAGGAGACACCUGCCCCACAGAGAUAGGCCAGAGCGUGCUGCACGUUACUAGAGAUCAGCCUUCCAAAUGCCAGUUUUUCAUAUCAAAACAUAUCCCAGGCACGUCUUUCCUACAACACAAAGCAAUGCAAUCCAGCAGCUGGCUACCACAGAUGGCAAGCAGGGAGGCCAGCAACUCUCCUGCUAUUACUACUUUGUAUUUGGAUGCCAUAACUAUGAAGAAAAUACAUAUUUUACCCUGUUACCUCAGGGUUUAUUAAUCCCAAAGAAAAUACAUCAAGUAAACCACUCCCACAGUUAGAAUUUCUCCUGCAAACUAUCCUAAAUAUAACCUCCAAUUCUGAAGAACUCACAGAGAACUUGGUGAAAAACUGCAAAGAUCACCCACUAAGGAUGGAUGAAAGCUUUGUGGUGUUUUUUGUUUUUCUUAAAUGAACACAAAAUGCAUUAUUUUAGAAUUCAAGUGAUUUAAUACAGCAAUAAAAAUGUUUUGUGCCAAAGUCUUAACAGACAGCAUCUCCCAGUAAAAUUUGUAAUGUAAACAGCUAACAUUCAAAAUUAGAGGAUAUUAGCUGUUUAGCAAUGAGAACCUUAGUCCUUUUAUCUGACAUAAACAGAGGAAAGACAUGCAGCCGUGAAAGAGAACAGGAUGUGCAGAUCUCUAAAAAAUACUAAACACUUAAUUCAAAAAUUCACCAGAUAGGCAGAAUUUCUUCAGGCACAAAUAACUUUGGUAGCUCAAGACCACAAAAAAAAAAAAAAAAGAGAAAUUGUUAUUUUGAUUGUUAAUAAAUUAGAAAAUUUUCAAUAGUUUAUUAAGCUUUAUUUGAUUAACCCUUAGAAAAUGUAUUCAAAAUUCAGACACCUCAAACAGCACGUGCUUUCAGAACAAGGAAAUACAAGACUUAAUUUUUCAUAACUGUGAUCUGAUUUUAGAGGCAUUCAUUAUCUAGCUAUUCAAAGACAUAAGUUCAGACAACAUGCACUAAAAAUGAACUCUCCAGAACAAGCAAGUUUCUCCCAAGCCCAAGCUGCUUUGUUAUUUAAGUGAUUAUGUUUUCCAAAUAAGGAAGCUAAUUUAUUAUACAUUUGUUAAAAAAAAAAAAAAAAAACACAUUUAAUCCUUUGCACAGCAUUGCUAAAGAGACUCCCCACUAAGCUGCCUAAGGCAUUAACUGGAAAGAAGCAAAUCCUGUGGCAUAAUCUGAAGUUCGGUGCAUGAAUGAUAAAAAAAAUAGUGCAAUUUCAAGAAGACACUUGUUAUACAUUAUACAUAAAGACAUAUGCACGCUCCAAAACUGGAGUCUCCUAUCUGAAGCAGUGCUCAGCUCCUGGAAAAACUGCUGAUCUCAAAUCCCAAACACACCUACAAGUGCAGAGGGAACUAAUGGUAGAUUUAGGUGGGUUUUCUAUUUAGUUGGAUGUUGUUGUUCUUUUGCGGAGGUAGUGUGGGGUUCUUUUUGUUUGUUUAAGUCCAAGCUGAUGUUACACAGGAGGAAAAACCUGAGGCAGACGUCUACAAAAGUUAGAAAUAUAAGGCAUACAAAAUAUUUGUGUGUCUAUAUUAUCUCUCAAAAAAAAGCUUAAAUAGGUCUCUGCAAGCUUCGUUAUAUAAAAUGAACAGCUUCAUGAUCGAACAAAACUCCACUAUUAGAUUACUGAUUUAUUUUUUCCCCUUAUCUUUUAGUUCACAUUAUGGGAGAUAAAGAAAAGAAGACCACAUUUACUUACAGUUGUCACAACCUCUGCCCACCCAGGAACGGCCUGUAGGUUUAAAGUGUCUAAUUCCAUUUCUAAAAACACAUACAGCAUUUUGUAUAUUUACUUACUAGCUCAGAUGAGGCUAGAGGUGUCAUGCUUGGUUAAGACUGGAUGCAUCUGAUGGCUGUUAAACAUGCAGCUGUGACACUGUGGCACCGUAAGCU